UACGUAGGUGGCGAGCGUUGUCCGGAAUUACUGGGUGUAAAGGGAGCGUAGGCGGGAGUGCAAGUUGAAUGUUAAAUCUAUCGGCUCAACCGAUAGCCGCGUUCAAAACUGCAUUUCUUGAGUGAAGUAGAGGUUGGCGGAAUUCCUAGUGUAGCGGCGAAAUGCGUAGAUAUUAGGAGGAACACCAGUGGCGAAGGCGGCCAACUGGGCUUUACUGACGCUGAGGCUCGAAAGCGUGGGGAGCAAACAGGAUUAGAUACCCGUGUAGUCCCUGA
rnacentral:rRNA from 1 species